UCGAGCCCGUUCUUAAACCUUUCUACCACCGAUGUGUUUCCCUUUAGAUGUAUACCCUCCUGUUUUUACCUCUUAUGAGUUUCUCCUAAUUUCAGAAAUUGAUUUUUUUUAAUUGAUUAAAAACUCAAUUCUAAUG